CGCAUGUGUAAAUAGGGAUAGUCCGCGCCUGUAGUUUUGAGACGGGCUGUCGUCUGUCAAUGUGGUGCUAAGGGCCGUCGUGACGUUUUGGGGCGUAUUCGGGGCUCCCUUGAGUCUAUUCGCCUAAUUCAGCCGAUUUAAAUAUUUUACCGGGUCGUGAUGUUGUUUUGCCCAGUUCUGCUGAUGUCGCAGCCCUGGCUGAGAGAACUCCACUUCCAAACAAUCACAAGUGAUCGCUUUUUGGCCGCCUAAUUUUAUGCAACUAGUAUUUCUCCAGUGUUUUGUCCUUUUGCCUAGAUUGCACUCUCGUUUUAGAGGUGGGGAGAUUUUUUUCAAAUUGUUACAGAAAAAAAUGUGGUUAAGUAAUGGGAAUUUCCGAUUUUCGGGUUUGUUUACCGUCGGCGUGAUUUGCGCAACAUGAACCCAGUUUUGUUGACAUUUUUUGCAAAAGGCUUGUUUUUGGUUUUUUUGUGAGAAAAAAACUGUAACAAUAUGAUGGCUGACGAGGAGGUGCUAUUUGAUGAGGUUUAUGAUUUGUGUGAGGAAAUUGGAAGAAGGACCAGCAGCAUUUGAAGAAAAAAUUGAAAUUGGAAAACUUUGAUUGAAAAAAAAUUGAGUUACGGUUGGAGGGUCGCCAUGCAGAGAAGAACAAUAUUUAGCCCGAUCUUGCAUAAGAAAUAUUUGAUAUCUGAAUUGAUUUGUUUUAUUCUACAUUAAGUGCAGUAAAUUGUUUUCAGAAAAAAUGUAAUUACUGUUGUUCAUUUAAAAGGUUGGAAAAAAUAAACAGACCAAUAGAAAACGUUCCAAUUA